rnacentral:rRNA from 1 species
AGUGAACGCUGGCGGUAGGCCUAACACAUGCAAGUCGAACGGCAGCACAGUAAGAGCUUGCUCUUACGGGUGGCGAGUGGCGGACGGGUGAGGCAUACAUCGGAAUCUACUUUUUCGUGGGGGAUAACGUAGGGAAACUGACGCUAAUACCGCAUACGACCUACGGGUGAAAGCAGGGGAUCUUCGGACCUUGCGCGAUUGAAUGAGCCGGUGUCGGAUUAGCUAGUUGGCGGGGUAAAGGCCCACCAAGGCGACGAUCCGUAGCUGGUCUGAGAGGAUGAUCGGCCACACUGGAACUGAGACACGGUCCAGACUCCUACGGGAGGCAGCAGUGGGGAAUAUUGGACAAUGGGCGCAAGCCUGAUCCAGCCACACCGCGUGGGUGAAGAAGGCCUUCGGGUUGUAAAGCCCUUUUGUUGGGAAAGAAAAGCAGCAGGAUAAUACCCCGCUGUUCUGACGGUACCCAAAGAAUAAGCACCGGCUAACUUCGUG